rnacentral:lncRNA from 1 species
GGGGUCUAGGUAUAAAGUGUUUGUCCUAUUAAUUUAUUUUUCUUUUAUUUUUUAAAUCGGUUGAAAAUUAAUAAAUGUGUAGUAAUUUAUAGAAAAAUCUAAAAAUUAUAAAACAAAUUUUGUUCAGCUCCACAUAUGUAGGUCCAUGCAGUAAACGAAAAAUAUCACAAAUUUUAAUACAUUUUUUUUUGCUAGAGAUGCUUGCCUAUAUUUUUUAGUGUAAAAUUGAUCAGUUGGAAAUUUAUAAAUGCAUAGUAAUUCAUACAAAAAUCUAAAAAUUACAAAAUAAACUCCACAUAUAUAUAUCUCACUGAUUUACUAAUUUACCUAAAUUUAUGUUUGAGAAUGCUUUCACUAUCUUUGCACGAUGUGUUGUUAUGUCAUAUGAACACUUCAUAAGCCCAUGUGUUUACAAUCUACAUACAUUUAACUGAUAUAUCAUAUUUUAUAGAAAUCCUAAUCUAAGUAAAAAGUAAAGCUAGCAACAAACUUCUCAUGUUUUAAUAUAAUACUAAGGUAUAUUAAGAGGUAAUAUUAGAGUAAGAUAAGAUUUGACUAAUUUUUAUUUUUAUUAUUAGAUAAAUAUGUCUCCAAGCUAUAUAUUAUUGUAAAUAUUAACUAUCCAAUAUCAUAGAUGUUAUGGUUAUCAAUAAAAUAAAUUAUAGACUUUAAAAUAGAUAUGUAACAUCUAUUUGAUGUUUUUCUUCCAUUACAACGCACGGGCAUAUUUGCUAGUAUAUCUAAUACUAAGGUGCAAUGAGAUGUGUCUUAUACUAGC